rnacentral:rRNA from 1 species
UUCGCAAUGCCCGAAAGGGUGACGAAGCGAUGCCGCGUGGGUGAGGAAGGCCCUCGGGUUGUAAAGCCCUGUCAGGAGUUAAGAAAUGUAGGUACGCUAAUAUCGUAUCUAUUUGACAAAGGCUCCAAAGGAAGCCACGGCUAACUCUGUGCCAGCAGCCGCGGUAAUACAGAGGUGGCAAGCGUUGUUCGGAAUUAUUGGGCGUAAAGAGCACGUAGGUGGGUUUGUAAGUCAGAUGUGAAAGCCUCCUGUUCAACGGGAGAAUUGCAUCUGAAACUGCGAGUCUUGAGUGUAGGAGGGGAGAAUGGAACUUCUGGUGGAGCGGUGAAAUGCGUAGAUAUCAGAAGGAACGCCGGCGGCGAAAGCGAUUCUCUGGCCUAUUACUGACACUCAGUGUGCGAAAGCUAGGGGAGCAAACGGGAUUAGAUACCCCGGUAGUCCUAGCCGUAAACGAUGGGCACUAAGUAGAGGGGUUUU